CUGCUCAUUCAUGGCCAAAAAGGCGCGUGAAAGCCCCACACCACACCGCCUCCGUCGCCGCGCGGUGCCGGCCGGUGCCCUCGCCGCCAGGGAACGGUACCACUGUGUCCCUGUAUAUAAGCGUGGUUAACUUUGAACAUGGAUGGAUCACAAGAUUCACAACCCAUCCAGAAUAAUCUAAUAUUAUUCAGCUUCAUGUGCUAACUAUGGAAGUUCAAAAGCGUUAGUUGACGGUGAUGGACCAACAUUCCUAGUGCUCCCUCCAUUCUAAACUGUAAUUAAGUUGUUUCGGAUUUAUUCCAAGACUAUGUUUGUAUCUUUGGAAUUAAAUUUAUUCUAAUAAACAUAAUUUAAGUGCAUAUUAAUUAAGUUAAUAUUGUUGUGUAUGAAA